GCUUAGAAGCAGCCACUCAUUAAAAGAGUGCGUAAUAGCUCACUGGUCGAGUGACCCUGCGCCGAAAAUUCAACGGGGCUAAACAAUGUACCGAAGCUUGGGAUUCUAAAGUAAUUUAGAGUGGUAGGAGAGCGUCGAAUAAGGGGUGAAGUCAGAGCGGAAGCGCUGGUGGACUUUAUUCGAGUGAGAAUGCCGGAAUGAGUAGCGAGAAUUAUGUGAGAAUCAUAAUGGCCGAAAAUCUAAGGUUUCCUGAGGAAGGUUCGUCCGCUCAGGGUAAGCCGGGGGCUAAGGCGAGGCGGAGACGCGUAGCCGAUGCACAUACGGUUGAAAUUCCGUAGCCACCGAAAGAUUUAAGUACAGGGACGCUUUAGAAGUGAUGUUGCCGGGCGAUGGUUGACCCGGUCGUAAGGGAUCGAAAAUGAGUAGAGAAGUCAUCAUGGAAAGAGACAAGAAAAGCUGUAUGAAUAUCUUAGGUGCCCGUACCGCAAACCGACACAGGUAGAUAGGAAGAAGAUUCUAAGGCCAACGGGAGAAGGGUUGUUAAGGAACUCGGCAAGUUGACCCCGUAACUUAGGGAUAAGGGGUGCUCAAGUGAUUGAGCCGCAGAGAAUAGGCCCAGGCGACUGUUUAGCAAAAACACAGGUCUCUGCUAAAUCGAAAGAUGACGUAUAGGGGCUGACACCUGCCCGGUGCCGGAAGGUUAAGAGGAGAUGUGAGAGCAUUGAAUUGAAGCCCCGGUAAACGGCGGCCGUAACUAUAACGGUCCUAAGGUAGCGAAAUUCCUUGUCAGGUAAGUUCUGACCCGCACGAAAGGUGUAACGAUCUGGGCACUGUCUCAACAACCCGCCCGGCGAAAUUGUAGUACCGGUGAAGAUGCCGGUUACCCGCGACUAGACGGAAAGACCCCAUGGAGCUUUACUGUAGCCUAAUAUUGGAUUUCGGUAUUUCACGUACAGGAUAGGUGGGAGACUGGGAAGCACAGGCGUCAGCUUGUGUGGAGUCGACCUUGGGAUACCACUCUUGGAGUGCUGGAAUUCUAACCUGCGGCUUUGAAGCAAGUCGGGGGACAUUGUUAGGUGGGCAGUUUGACUGGGGCGGUCGCCUCCUAAAGAGUAACGGAGGCGCUCAAAGGUUCGCUCUGCAUGGAUGGAAACCAUGCGUCAGAGUGUAAACGCAAAAGCGAGCCUAACUGCGAGAAUGACGGUUCGAGCAGUAACGAAAGUUGGAGUUAGUGAUCCGGCGGUAUGUGAAUGGAAAUGCC
rnacentral:rRNA from 1 species